AUGAACGCUAGCGGGAGGCCUAACACAUGCAAGCCGAGCGGUAUAAUUCUUUCGGGAAUUAGAGAGCGGCGCACGGGUGCGGAACACGUGUGCAACCUGCCUUUAUCUGGGGGAUAGCCUUCCGAAAGGGAGAUUAAUACCCCAUAAUAUAUUGACUGGCAUCAGUUAAUAUUGAAAACUCCGGUGGAUAGAGAUGGGCACGCGCAAGAUUAGAUAGUUGGUGAGGUAACGGCUCACCAAGUCAGUGAUCUUUAGGGGGCCUGAGAGGGUGAUCCCCCACACUGGUACUGAGACACGGACCAGACUCCUACGGGAGGCAGCAGUGAGGAAUAUUGGACAAUGGGUGAGAGCCUGAUCCAGCCAUCCCGCGUGAAGGACGACGGCCCUAUGGGUUGUAAACUUCUUUUGUACAGGGAUAAACCUAGAUACGUGUAUCUAGCUGAAGGUACUGUACGAAUAAGCACCGGCUAACUCCGUGCCAGCCGCCGCUGUAACAC
rnacentral:rRNA from 1 species